UGAUUAUCUCCAGCCCACAAGGCCAGGACUUCAGGAACAAUUUGGUGGUCAGGGGAGAAAAUGAGGGCUUGCCUUUAGAGAGAGCUAUGUUAAUUUGCCUUGUUGCUCCUACAACACUGCCAACCCUGCAGUGUACAAAGAAGAUGCCUCUCAUGUGCUCCCUACCCCCUCAUAAGAGUAGGCAACACUCAAUCUAACCCCCAUCUUGCAUGUGGAGGAACACGAGGACUGAUCUCUCCUCAGGUUCUGCAGGACACGGACUUCUAAGGGGUUGGUGAACAGGAGAAGGCAAGGCCUAGACUUCAACCCUUUCCACAUCCAGAUGGUGGAGCUGGCAGAGUGGAUAGAAGGAAACAGGAUGCACCCUGCUACAACACAGUGAAGAGCAUGCGUAUUCUCCCUGCUGCCGGGCAGCUCCAAAAUGGCCUCAGAAGGGCCAGUCUCUUCUGAUGUGCCCCAUUUAAGCUGGAGGGUUGUGCCAUGCUUUCUUCAUGAUGCAGGGUACCAAAAAGCAGUGAAGACUGACACAACUUCUCCAUUUUCAGAACGCUGAAUCUGGGCAAAACUCAUCAUCAUCACUGGAGCUGGCUGCACACUUCAGAAGGUAGGACUGCAUUAGUUUAGACUCAGUUCACAUUUGACAGAAGUUUUUUGCAACCAUUAGAACUACGAGAUUUAAAAAAAUUUUUUUUUUUUUUUAAACAGACUGACUAAUUUGCAAUGAACUUUUGUAGAAGCACUCACCAAGAAAAGCUUAUUAUUUGCCAAGGAUGAAUAAUUCUGGGCCAUCAUUUUGUUACUUAAUUGCUAUAGUUGAAUCACAACUUCAGAGAACAUGCCACUCUUUAGAAAUUAAAGAAUGCUGGUCUAAAAUGCCUUUUGGUAGAGUAAAUGAGCAAUACAGUAGGCACUUAUCUUCUGAGAAUUAGCAGCAUCCCUUCUACAGGGUGUACACUAUGUGGAGAGUUAGGAAAUACUCACCAAGGCAUCACGCUGCUAAGAUACUUCUAAUAAAGGCAAGGCAGCUAUUGUGUUUUUCUACCUCAGUACCUCACAAGUAUGGAAAGUACAACAUUAGCACAGCUUUAAUUUGAUUUACUUGCAGACAAAAUAAAACAACCUGGCUUUGUUUGGGAAAAAAAAAAAAAAAAAAA